ACCGGCGCUGCUUCGAGUCUUCGACCCCUCCCUUCCAUUUUCCUCCGCCUCCUGCUCUCCCGCCGGCCGCCGCACUCGCCCUGGCAGCCGGCCAUCAUGAAUUCAUUCAUGCUCCAAAACCGCUAGGCCCCUACAAUUGGAUGGAAACCUCCGCGCCUGCAAACCCCAUUCACCAAUAUGGGAUUUUGCUUCAAGUGUUUGUUUGCCCUCUUGGUCGAUGGCAGUGACUAUGGAUGCGCCCAGUUGGAUCCGCUGAGGCGCAACACAUCGUUGGCGCUGCUGGUCGACGCUGGCCCCGUCACAACAAGCAGGAGAUGCUGUUUAGACUCCCCCUCUAUAUCCUAUCGGUUCUGUUAUACAUGAACAUAGCAUUUGCUUGUUAAUUUCCAGAAGAAUAAAACCCUGAAGGUGUUAAUGUCGAACGCAUAGCGGUGCUAUAUGAAUUACCAGAUGCUCAACGAAUUGUCUCAGCUACCCAUCAAUUUAAGAAAUUCAAUUAAUUAUGGCACAGCCACCUCCCAGCGUCCCUGCCAAUUUCAUCGGUUCUCUUAGAUAAGUUGCCUUUAUUCAGAAAUAUUCUGCCUAUUAUAUACUGCUUCGGAUGAAGGGCUUUUGAAUCUUGCUCCUUCUGAAAGUAACUCUGCAGAAUGUCUGAUAUUUUGUUUGUUUAACAUAUCCUAUGUUCAAUGCUCUCUAUUUGAA